AUGCUGGAGGUAUCAGAAGUGCGAAUGCUGACAUAAGUAACGAUAAAGCGGGUGAAAAGCCCGCUCGCCGGAAGACCAAGGGUUCCUGUCCAACGUUAAUCGGGGCAGGGUGAGUCGACCCCUAAGGCGAGGCCGAAAGGCGUAGUCGAUGGGAAACAGGUUAAUAUUCCUGUACUUGGUGUUACUGCGAAGGGGGGACGGAGAAGGCUAUGUUGGCCGGGCGACGGUUGUCCCGGUUUAAGCGUGUAGGCUGGUUUUCCAGGCAAAUCCGGAAAAUCAAGGCUGAGGCGUGAUGACGAGGCACUACGGUGCUGAAGCAACAAAUGCCCUGCUUCCAGGAAAAGCCUCUAAGCAUCAGGUAACAUCAAAUCGUACCCCAAACCGACACAGGUGGUCAGGUAGAGAAUACCAAGGCGCUUGAGAGAACUCGGGUGAAGGAACUAGGCAAAAUGGUGCCGUAACUUCGGGAGAAGGCACGCUGAUAUGUAGGUGAAGUCCCUCGCGGAUGGAGCUGAAAUCAGUCGAAGAUACCAGCUGGCUGCAACUGUUUAUUAAAAACACAGCACUGUGCAAACACGAAAGUGGACGUAUACGGUGUGACGCCUGCCCGGUGCCGGAAGGUUAAUUGAUGGGGUUAGCGCAAGCGAAGCUCUUGAUCGAAGCCCCGGUAAACGGCGGCCGUAACUAUAACGGUCCUAAGGUAGCGAAAUUCCUUGUCGGGUAAGUUCCGACCUGCACGAAUGGCGUAAUGAUGGCCAGGCUGUCUCCACCCGAGACUCAGUGAAAUUGAACUCGCUGUGAAGAUGCAGUGUACCCGCGGCAAGACGGAAAGACCCCGUGAACCUUUACUAUAGCUUGACACUGAACAUUGAGCCUUGAUGUGUAGGAUAGGUGGGAGGCUUUGAAGUGUGGACGCCAGUCUGCAUGGAGCCGACCUUGAAAUACCACCCUUUAAUGUUUGAUGUUCUAACGUGGACCCGUGAUCCGGGUUGCGGACAGUGUCUGGUGGGUAGUUUGACUGGGGCGGUCUCCUCCUAAAGAGUAACGGAGGAGCACGAAGGUUGGCUAAUCCUGGUCGGACAUCAGGAGGUUAGUGCAAUGGCAUAAGCCAGCUUGACUGCGAGCGUGACGGCGCGAGCAGGUGCGAAAGCAGGUCAUAGUGAUCCGGUGGUUCUGAAUGGAAGGGCCAUCGCUCAACGGAUAAAAGGUACUCCGGGGAUAACAGGCUGAUACCGCCCAAGAGUUCAUAUCGACGGCGGUGUUUGGCACCUCGAUGUCGGCUCAUCACAUCCUGGGGCUGAAGUAGGUCCCAAGGGUAUGGCUGUUCGCCAUUUAAAGUGGUACGCGAGCUGGGUUUAGAACGUCGUGAGACAGUUCGGUCCCUAUCUGCCGUGGGCGCUGGAGAACUGAGGGGGGCUGCUCCUAGUACGAGAGGACCGGAGUGGACGCAUCACUGGUGUUCGGGUUGUCAUGCCAAUGGCACUGCCCGGUAGCUAAAUGCGGAAGAGAUAAGUGCUGAAAGCAUCUAAGCACGAAACUUGCCCCGAGAUGAGUUCUCCCUGACUCCUUGA
rnacentral:rRNA from 1 species